AGUGAACGCUGGCGGUAGGCCUAACACAUGCAAGUCGAACGGCAGCACAGGAGAGCUUGCUCUCUGGGUGGCGAGUGGCGGACGGGUGAGGAAUACAUCGGAAUCUACUCUGUCGUGGGGGAUAACGUAGGGAAACUUACGCUAAUACCGCAUACGACCUACGGGUGAAAGCAGGGGACCUUCGGUCCUUGCGCGAUUGAAUGAGCCGAUGUCGGAUUAGCUAGUUGGCGGGGUAAAGGCCCACCAAGGCGACGAUCCGUAGCUGGUCUGGAAGGAUGAUCAGCCACACUGGAACUGAGACAAGGUGCAGACUCCUCCGGGAGGCAGCAGUGGGGAAUAUUGGACAAGGGGCGCAAGCCUGAUCCAGCCAUACCGCGUGGGUGAAGAAGGCCUUCGGGUUGUAAAGCCCUUUUGUUGGGAAAGAAAUCCAGCUGGCUAAUACCCGGUUGGGAUGACGGUACCCAAAGAAUAAGCACCGGCUAACUUCGUGCCAGCAGCCGCCGUAA
rnacentral:rRNA from 1 species